rnacentral:rRNA from 1 species
GACAGAGGGGGCAAGCGUUGUUCGGAUUUACUGGGCGUAAAGGGCGCGUAGGCGGCCACCGCAAGUCGACUGUGAAAUCUCCGGGCUUAACUCGGAAAGGUCAGCCGAUACUGCGGGGCUAGAGUGCAGAAGGGGCAACUGGAAUUCUCGGUGUAGCGGUGAAAUGCGUAGAUAUCGAGAGGAACACCUGCGGCGAAGGCGGGUUGCUGGGCUGACACUGACGCUGAUUGUGCGAAAGCUAGGGGAGCGAACGGG